rnacentral:lncRNA from 1 species
CUGAGAAGCAUCCCUGGCUCCCCGCCCACCCAUGGAGGCUAUAUUUGGAGCAAGACAACUCCCUGCAGACACAGAGCAUUGGACCCACCCUGAGGAGCUGCCCUGACCAAUUUUACCAAGCAGGGAGGGGGGUGUCACCCAUCUCUUCGUUUGUCUGUCCAUUCAUUCUGCUCGUAUGUUCAUUCAACAAGUAUUUCUGACACACACACACACACACACCCCAGUACGAAGAAGCCGUGCUUUAGGCAUACAUUCUUAUGUAGGCAUGUGAGUAUUUGCUUUUAAACAGGGAUGGCAGGACAGACUCUCAGUGCCCUCCCUCAGAGCUGGCUGGCACCAGUGACUCACAGUCAGGUGCACCCUGUCUCUAUGUACCUGUGUACACAUGCGAGCCAGCACGCGCUCCCCAAGGAGUGACAGUGACUCAGCUGCACAAGGCAUCUGGGUACCUGUGUGGAUGUGUCUGUGGGCACAGCCCUGAGUCCAGGCUCUUGUUCCCUGAGGGUUGUGACUCAACUGCACAUGGUGACCCAGGAGCCCACAGGCCAGCUGUGUCUUUUCAGCUUCCACCAACCUGACAAGCCAAAUAGACAGUGUUGGGUGCAAAUAUUCUCUCACAGACCGUGCCUGGAAGACUGUGAGGCCAGGUGACCUUGGAAGGCCACAAAGCAGUAGCAGUUCCUAUCCAACAGCGGUGGCCAUGGAGCCAAGGCCCCUCAACCUCUUUGCUGAUGCUUCCUGGAACCUCAGAGAG